UACGAAGGGGGCGAGCGUUAAUCGGAAUAACUGGGCGUAAAGGGUGAGUAGGCGGAUAGAUAAGUUAGUAGUGAAAUACCCGGGCUUAACCUGGGAGGUGCUAUUAAAACUGUAUAUCUAGAGUAUGUGAGAGGAUGGAGGAAUUCCAAGUGUAGCAGUGAAAUGCGUAGAGAUUUGGAGGAACACCGAUGGCGAAGGCAUCCAUCUGGCAUAAUACUGACGCUGAGUCACGAAAGCGUGGGUAGCAAACAGG
rnacentral:rRNA from 1 species